rnacentral:rRNA from 1 species
UACGUAGGGUGCGAGCGUUAAUCGGAAUUACUGGGCGUAAAGCGUGCGCAGGCGGUUUUACAAGACAGCUGUGAAAUCCCCCGGCUCAACCUGGGAAUUGCAUUUGUGACUGUAAAGCUAGAGUACGGUAGAGGGGGAUGGAAUUCCGCGUGUAGCAGUGAAAUGCGUAGAUAUGCGGAGGAACACCGAUGGCGAAGGCAAUCCCCUGGGCCUGUACUGACGCUCAUGCACGAAAGCGUGGGGAGCAAACAGG